AUUCAGGGUCAAACUGGGCUAUAUUUCUUUCAUUGAGGCGAGGGUGAUUCCAGCAGAUUUUGCUUGGCGUACUCGCCUUUUUUCUUGAAGUUGGGCGUCGGUCGUCUCUGCGGCAAGGAUUAUUAUGGAUUUUCUGAAGGUGUUGGCGGGGGUUGCACGGCAUGUUCCGUCUGGUUUCAGGAGUGUGUGCUGCACCUGAAAAAAUUUCUCGGGUUGUCUCUCUACAUAUUUCCACGUUAGUUGUGAUAUUUUAUUUAUUGCUCUGCAAUUGACAGUUUGACCUCAUGCUAGGGCAGCCUCAGCCAGUUGCCUCUUCUAUCAAAGGUUGAGAUGCAUCACAUGAUGUUUUCCUUUUACAUUUAUGGGUAUUACAGAACCCUUUCUUUUUCCACAAGGGGUAGUAGCUGUGCCAUUCGAUUCGGAGGACAAAGAGUUGAUCACAAAGGGGUAGCAUUCAG